GACGAACGCUGGCGGCGUGCUUAACACAUGCAAGUCGAGCGGUAAGGCCCCUUCGGGGGUACGACGAGCGGCGAACGGGUGAGUAACACGUGGGUGACCUGCCCUCAGCUCUGGGAUAAGCCUGGGAAACUGGGUCUAAUACCGGAUAUGACUCCAUGACGCAUGUCGUGGGGUGGAAAGCCUUGUGCGGCUGGGGAUGGGCCCGCGGCCUAUCAGCUUGUUGGUGGGGUGAUGGCCUACCAAGGCGACGACGGGUAGCCGGCCUGAGAGGGCGACCGGCCACACUGGGACUGAGACACGGCCCAGACUCCUACGGGAGGCAGCAGUGGGGAAUCUUGCGCAAUGGGCGAAAGCCUGACGCAGCGACGCCGCGUGAGGGAUGACGGCCUUCGGUUGGU
rnacentral:rRNA from 1 species